GUCCACGCCCUAAACGAUGUCGACUAGUUGUUCGGGAAGGUGACUUCUUGAGUAACGUAGCUAACGCGUGAAGUCGACCGCCUGGGGAGUACGGCCGCAAGGUUAACUCAAAGGAAUUGACGGGUACCCGCACAAGCGGUGGAUGAUGUGGAUUAAUUCGAUGCAACGCGAAACCUUACCUACCCUUGACAUGUCUGGAAUCCUGCAGAGAUGCGGGAGUGCCUUCGGGAACCAGAACACAGGUGCUGCAUGGCUGUCGU
rnacentral:rRNA from 1 species